rnacentral:rRNA from 1 species
CCUGAGAAACCCGAAAGAUCGAAUGGGGAGAUUCAUCGUCAGCGAUGCUGGUACGUGUGCGGUUCGCGAUGCCGGAGACUUCGGUCUCGUGGCACGCGUCCGCAUGUUUUUUAUUGCCUGGUAUCGUCGGCGUGCACUUCUCCCCUAGUAGGACGUCGCGACCCGUUGGGUGUCGGUUUACGGCCCGGGUGGGUGCCUGUCUCGUGUGCGCUUCACGGUGUCACUGCGGGGCAGACCCCCGGCUGCCCGACCGGCUGCCCGGCGGUACUCGCACGGUAUCUGGCCGCAAAAAUUCGAACUGCGUCCGGCCCGUCGCAAGCGCGGCAAGUGUUUUCCCGGAUGUACGGAUCUAAUGCCGUCAUCGGGCCUGGCCAGCUGUUGGUUGACGGUGUCCUAGGACUGGCUAUAAUAAUUAUGAUACCGGUCAGCGACGCUACUGCUUUGGGUACUUUCAGGACCCGUCUUGAAACACGGA